GCAAGUGGGGAUGACCUUGAUUGUAUCUGUAAUGUUUGUUUUCUCUUCAGGGAAAAAUGUAAAAAAAAAAAUCUGAAGCAAAUAUUUCAAAAGAGUGACAUUUGGAUAUCUGAGAGGACAAGUUUGCCCUCUGCUGAGUCAGCAUGUCACAGUGUGCCCCUGCACCAGCGACAUCUGUCUUAGAGAAUCCUCGCACCGAGUCUGCCACUCCCUGAUUAUCUUCGGUCUCUGCAGUCAUUCUGUGCAUGAGGCGGAGGUCCCAGGGGGGUUUCACAUCCUGGGCUGCCGCUCUGAGUCUGUGCACACCCCGUGCUGUUAUCUAGCAGGCUCGCCUGUGACCUGUGUCAUGACCUUGCUGCAUGCGAAAUGAGGAUGAGAAGUUUUGACUUUGGAACAGAGAGCAAUGAAAGAGGAGGAAUUCAACCGCAGCUCCAGAGCCAUAGCCAGGGGGCCCUGCAGGCUUCUUAGAAGAGAGACCCGCUAUGAAGAAAUCCCAGGGUUAAAUACCAAAGAAAAAUAAGAUUUGAGAAAGAAAAGAUCCAGAAUUGCAGCUCAAGAUUAAAUCAUGAAUAACAUCAAAGGAAGCUUCUCGAUGCUGUGAUGUAGUGGGUAAAGCUGCUGCCUGCAGUGCUGGCAUCCCAUAUGGGUGCCACUUUGAGUUCCCACCUGUGCCACUUCCAACCCAGCUCCCUGCUAAUGUGCCUGGAAAAAUAGUGGAAGAUGGGCCAAGUCCUUGAGCCCAGAAGGUUCUGGCUCUUGGCUUUGGAUGGGCCCAGCUCCAGCCAUUGUGGCCAUUUGGAGAGUGAACUAAGGGAUGAAAGAUCUCUCUCUCUCUCUCUCUCUCU